GUAUCUAUAUGUGAUUCUAUCAUUAUCUAUCUAUCUAUCUAUCUAUCUACUAUCUAUCUAUCUACUAUCUAUCUAAUGUUAUUUGAAUCAUAUUCAUCCCCUUCUCCAUAGCUCUCCUGUCCCCUUCCUACUCCUGUCUCUUCUUCCCAGAUGGUCCCAUUUCUACGUUCAUGCCUUCCCCCGUUUUGAAUGACCUAAUGAAUUUCGUUAAGUUUGCUUAUAGGAGUAAUGGCACCUUAACAAGUAACUACACCACUGAAGAAAAUGUCUUUCCUGUUCCUGAUCUACUAUUGUGCACAAAUCUUCUACUGUGCACAAAUCUUCAAGAAGUAGAGCUGGCCCUGGUAGUGUGAGUGUGAGUAGACUGGAUCUGGGGACCUGAGAGCAGGAGAACUGGCCCUGUUGCUUGUUGCAGGCUGCAUUGGUUAUUACUCAAAUCUAAGGAAUACGUACUGCGAGGAUCUUGAUGAAGGACCCUUGUGAGGGUGAAGAUGAUUUUGCCAUUGCAGAUUAGCAUGAUGAGAAGAGGGAAAAUGAAGAGGCAGCUGAAGGUGAAAAAGUUGUAAAAGGCUUGGUGCCACCACUGCGGAAAACUGCAGUGUGUGACACAUUGAGAGAAAACUUCCGCUUGCCCAGAGCCAUCUUCUAGGUAGAUCAUCCUGAAGAUAUAUAACUGUGAAAAAGCAACAAAAAAUUUGUGUCUUUUUCCAAAAGCAUUCCUUCCUUCCUUUAUGCCGAUAGUCUUCCUACCUAAAGCAAUUUCUAAAUCCCUAGGCAUUACACUUUGACAAUUGUA